rnacentral:rRNA from 1 species
GUGCCAGCAGCCGCGGUAAUACGUAGGUGGCAAGCGUUGUCCGGAUUUAUUGGGCGUAAAGCGAGCGCAGGCGGUUCUUUAAGUCUGAUGUGAAGCCCCCGGCUCAACCGGGGAGGGUCAUUGGAAACUGGAGAACUUGAGUGCAGAAGAGGAGAGUGGAUUCCACGUGUAGCGGUGAAAUGCGUAGAUAUGUGGAGGAACACCAGUGGCGAAGGCGACUCUCUGGUCUGUAACUGACGCUGAGGCUCGAA